CCCUUUGAUUUUCCGGUGAGCUCCGCGCUGCGAUCUGCACGCAUUAGCCGAAACCCAGCUAACUCCACGGCGUGGUGGGGGGUGCGUCCGCUUUUCGUUCAACAAAAAACA